rfam:Schistosoma mattheei strain Denwood, Zambia genome assembly, scaffold: SMTD_scaffold0012380
AGCCUUCUUUAUCUGUGCUAAGAUUUCGUCAGAAACCGGGGAAUCAGGACUGAUGAGACUUACAAGAAAAGUGAAGCG